GAUGAACGCUAGCGGGAGGCCUAACACAUGCAAGCCGAGCGGUAUUGUUUCUUCGGAAAUGAGAGAGCGGCGUACGGGUGCGUAACACGUGUGCAACCUGCCUUUAUCUGGGGGAUAGCCUUUCGAAAGGAAGAUUAAUACUCCAUAACAUAUUGAACGGCAUCGUUUAAUAUUGAAAGCUCCGGCGGAUAGAGAUGGGCACGCGCAAGAUUAGCUAGUUGGUGAGGUAACGGCUCACCAAGGCGAUGAUCUUUAGGGGGCCUGAGAGGGUGAGCCCCCACACUGGUACUGAGACACGGACCAGACUCCUACGGGAGGCAGCAGUGAGGAAUAUUGGUCAAUGGGUGCAAGCCUGAACCAGCCAUCCCGCGUGAAGGACGACUGCCCUAUGGGUUGUAAACUUCUUUUGUAUAGGGAUAAACCUACCCUCGUGAGGGUAGCUGAAGGUACUAUACGAAUAAGCACCGGCUAACUCCGUGCCAGCAGCCGCCGUAAUAC
rnacentral:rRNA from 1 species